CCUACGGGAGGCAGCAGUGGGGAAUAUUGCACAAUGGGGGGAACCCUGAUGCAGCGACGCCGCGUGGGUGAAGGAGGGUUUCGGCGCGUAAAGCCCUAUCGGCAGGGAAGAAGAUGACGGUACCUGGCCAAGAAGCCCCGGCUAACUACGUGCCAGCAGCCGCGGUAAUACGUAGGGGGCAAGCGUUAGCCGGAUUUACUGGGUGUAAAGGGGGCGCAGACGGCAAUGCAAGCCAGGAGGGAAAGCCCGGGGCCCAACCCCGGGACUGCGCUUGGAACUGCAUGGCUGGAGUACAGGAGGGGCAGGCGGAAUUCCUAGUGUAGCGGUGAAAUGCGUAGAUAUUAGGAGGAACACCGGUGGCGAAGGCGGCCUGCUGGACUGUGACUGACGUUGAGGCCCGAAGGCGUGGGGAGCAAACAGGAUUAGAUACCCGGGUAGUC
rnacentral:rRNA from 1 species